rnacentral:rRNA from 1 species
GACGAACGCUGGCGGCGUGCCUAAUACAUGCAAGUUGAGCGCUGAAGGUUGGUACUUGUACCGACUGGAUGAGCAGCGAACGGGUGAGUAACGCGUGGGGAAUCUGCCUUUGAGCGGGGGACAACAUUUGGAAACGAAUGCUAAUACCGCAUAAAAACUUUAAACACAAGUUUUAAGUUUGAAAGAUGCAAUUGCAUCACUCAAAGAUGAUCCCGCGUUGUAUUAGCUAGUUGGUGAGGUAAAGGCUCACCAAGGCGAUGAUACAUAGCCGACCUGAGAGGGUGAUCGGCCACAUUGGGACUGAGACACGGCCCAAACUCCUACGGGAGGCAGCAGUAGGGAAUCUUCGGCAAUGGACGAAAGUCUGACCGAGCAACGCCGCGUGAGUGAAGAAGGGUUUCGGAUCGUAAAACUCUGUUGGUAGAGAAGAACGCUGGUGAGAGUGGAAAGCUCAUCAAGUGACGGUAACUACCCAGAAAGGGACGGCUAACUACGUG